AGGAUUAUACGCUAAUGGUAAGCAAAAAGUCUCCAAAACUUUUUAUCUAGGUUCGAAUCCUAGUGAUCCUG
rnacentral:tRNA from 1 species